rnacentral:rRNA from 1 species
UACGUAGGGGGCAAGCGUUGUCCGGAUUUAUUGGGCGUAAAGCGCUCGCAGGUGGUUCGAUGCGUCGUGCGUGAAAGACCCCGGCUCAACUGGGGAGGGUCGUGCGAUACGGUCGAACUGGAGGCCAGUAGGGGGAUGCGGAAUUCCGGGUGUAGUGGUGGAAUGCGUAGAGAUCCGGAGGAACACCAGCGGCGAAGGCGGCAUCCUGGACUGGUCCUGACACUCAUGAGCGAAAGCGUGGGGAGCAAACAGG